UUCCCAAAAGUUAGUUCUGUUAUCAUUGUUCCACACUUAAAUGCACAAUGUCAAGGAAGUUGAGAACCGAAAGUUUGAAGAUGUUUAGUUUAUGACCACCAAAUUGAAUAGAUGACAUGGCUGAAUGCAUUUAUAUUUGUCCUUGCUUGACACUCUUUGGCACACUGUUUCAGUGAAGGGCAUAAAUAAUCAUUCAUAUGAGGUAUAUACAUAGGCUCAAAGUUUUUGCCACAAAUAAAUAUACCAGAUACUUGUCAAAUCUCAGAUUAUCUCCAAGUAAACAAGUAGCGUAGAUACUGGUCGGGGCGUGGUGGAA